AAACGUGAUCGCAGCCGCCUCCCAGGAAACUGGAGCGGGACAGUAAGUUCCCGAAGAAAGUCCUGGCCGGCGGGGAGCGCCGUGCAGUGAGCCCUGACUCCCACCGCCCUCCUUCCACCUCCCGGCUCGCACCUGGGGCCGUGCAAGACGAGCCGGCUCUGGAGAUUUGCAGUGAGGACAGGCAAACAGAGACUGGACAACACAGAGUGGGCUGCAGCGGUGAGACGGCGAGUGAAUACCUAUGAGCCUCGGUGAUUCAUCAUUCCAAGGAGCUCUUGCUUUAAUCACAGAGGGCUGCCAGAUGAGGAAGACCAUGAGGAUUUAUGACUUUGGGGCAGAGUGACAUCUGUCCUAGGCGUUCCAACCCAAAACUGCAAAUCGAUGCUUUUAUUAGAAAGUGACGGCAUUCGUGGUGAAGGGUUGAACACCCAAACGCUCCCCAGCACAAAACUGCCGUGUGAAAGAGCAACCCCUGCUUGACCCACAGAAAAAUCAAUCUCAAAUUAAAGCUUUUCAAUGGCUGAGAGAUCCAUCUGCAGGAUCUUCUCUAGCUAAGGUGAUCUCGCCUUUCUGAGUGCUGGGCUUCCUGUUUUGUCACAGACAUGAGAAGUGUGGAGUUUAGUGCUAGGACACUGUAAGCAGCAAUUAGCCAUGAAGCAUCGCCCAGUGCUGCUGUCAUCCCUCCAUGGUCACUUUAUCUCACUGCUCCACUUUCAGAGAGACCUUUUUACUCCCCAUUCUGCUGUUUUAGAUGAUGUUUGGUGUCUGCGUCACGUUUUACAUAAGACUGAUGCUCCCUCCACAGCUGCACUUCUCCUCUACCACAACCAGCUGGGUCCUGUCAGCAAGCAGCAAUGCCUACAGGUCAUGGAAAAAGGGAAGCUUCCCUCAAAACUCGUGGUGGGAGUGUACAGCUAGAAAUUAAGAGACUUGGGCUCUGUCAUCCCUUGCAAUAUUCACAUGUGCGGGUGAAUAGUUUAUCUGUGUGACUUGGUUUCCCCAUCUCUGAAAUGGAAAAGUUACCUUUCUGGAGCGAUUAUUAACAAAAAUGGAUUUGAGGCUUUCAGCCAUGAGGAGAAAUAAAAAUGCAAGUUAUUAAUAUGGGUAACAGCCGUGGCCUGAUUACACUCAGAAAUAAAGAGAAUGAACUAAAAGAGGGACAUAGUUAAUGCUUUCAUAUCUCCUACUGCACAUCCCUCUGUAUAAACCAAGAAAUGCAUUUUAUUUUAGCAGCAGGACCUGCCCUGGUAGAGCAGGGAGGUACAGGGGGACCUUCUGCAGGGCCCUCUCCCAGACUGACCUGCUCCAGCAGAGGUGAUACCUGCCUUCUGGCCUCAAAGAAAUUUCCAUGGCAAUCAUGCCACCUUUCCAGCCCUAUUUUAAUCACUUUAAAGCUGUGAGCCUUUCCAGCCUGCAAACACUCAAAUCGCCGAGAUGUGUCAGCCCAUACCUGCUGCAAGGACUGAGCCACGUGGCUGCUGAGGUGGCCAUUACAGAGCUCCAUCAGGGUAGUUUAGGGCUGGAUGAUUGUUCUGUUUGAUUUGGGGUUUCAGUAGCUGUAAAAACAGCACAAAUACUUCCUUUCCUACUGCAUGUCCUGCAGUUAUUUGUAGAAAGCAAAGUCAAGGGCGGUUAUGUUCACAAGUCAAUGCCCAUUUUGUCAUCACAAAUCUGUGGAGCUGAGAGCUGAUACAGGAUAAUGGACACCUGGAGCUGCAAAGGCGAUGCUUUUCUUCAGAGAGAACACGGAAUCCUGUGUGAAGCCCUUUAUGCCACUGUGGUGUCUGCCUUGCUACCUCUGAGGAAUGCUUGGAAAGAGGAGGGUCACCACUCUCAGAGCUGCUGGAGGCUGCCACUUCUCACUCUGCAGUAGUUGACUGGGCUAUCAUUAGCUGGUAGGAGACCAAGCAAAACGCUCACCUCCUGAGAAAGGCAACCUGCUCAAAGCCUUAGGGCUGUUUGUAAUAACACUCUGCUACUAGACUCCAUUUGCUUUCAAGGGUGAUAAGAAAUGAAGCAUUUGGGGAAGGAACUUUUGAGGAACUCAACCACUUGAGCAUUCAUUGCAACCUCAUGGCAUAAUUUUACCAUUUUGUUAGGAAAUACUGCUAUUUUUUUCUUGAACUCAAAUCAAUCAGAAAGGUAACAUCAGUAACCAGAAUCACCAUUCAAGUUUCUGUGUGGAAGUAUCUUCACCUGAAACUUCUAAAAUGUUAUGCCAAAAUGUUGGUAUAACAUAUUCAUACUUCUACUUUCACUUCUGCAGUGGGUCACUCUACCCACUACCUAUGCUAUUUCUGAGGAUGUGAUUUUUUUCCACCAUGGAUGGGAAAGAUGAGAACUAUAUUCCAAGUCAUUACUGUUGCUUUACUCAGUUAUCAAGGAAAAACAUUAAAAAUACUUUGACUCUUACAUAAAAUAGAACAGUAUCAAACACAUACUUUUAUUUUCUCUUCAUUUCUACGUGACAAGUCAGCAGCACAUUUGAAGUUCCUACAGUAAUGUGAAACACAUUCUAUCAUUUUCUUUGGAAAAAUAUUUCCUGUGGUGUUGCCUCUAUAUGUGCAAGGCAAUUGUUUACAUGGCUGGUUCCUAAGCUCUAUACAUUUGCAUCUGAAAGAUCAGAAAAAAAUGGACAAGCUUGAAAAUGUCAUCUCAGUUGGGACUUUGGAUCACAGAAGGUUCUUAAUAAUGACAAUGGUUCUUGGGAUAAGAUGAUGGAGAGUUUGAAAGAGAAAAAAAAAGGUGAUAUUGUCAAGGCAUCCCUGGUGACUUUAAGGAGAGUUUUGCAAAGAUACAACAGAGCUGAUGGUGCUGUGGACUGUGAUGCUCCAAACUUUUAUCAGCUUAGCACUUCUGGUCUGGAGAAAAUCUGAAUUUUGCCUGUUUCCUGCUCUCCAAAAGGGGAUGAAUAAACAGCCUUGGAAAACAACAGACUCCAAAAUCUGCCAUUAGAGUAUUUCUAAUGUUUUAAGGACCUGAGAUCCAACCAGGGGGUGUAGUUAAUAUUUCAGUAACAUGCCUCAUACAGUUUUUUUCACUUCUUAACCUCCAACGUGGUACAACACUUGCAACAUGUAGUGUUAUGGACAGGCACCAAGAAUGCUGCACAUACAAUAGGAAAAAUGCAGCAGUGACACAUACAUAUCUACAGCUGUGUAUAUGCACACAUGCUGCCAUUCAGGUAAGCUCAGGCAGCCUGAAUUUCCCAGGCUGACGUGUUAUUUACUCUUCUCUCAGCCUUGGAAGAUUUUUCCUGGACUUCAUAACCUGCCCCUCUCUAACAAGGCUGGGUCUGGGGAAUGGACCUUCCUGUGAGUAUCUUCCAUCAGGCUCACCUUCCAUCCCAGGUGGUGUUAAGUAAAUCCUAGGAACUGAACUAUUGAACUCGACCUUUGUACCCAAAUACCUUCAUAGAUAAAUGCUUGGGUAACAAGGGAGGAGAAGAUGGAAGGAUUCAGGAGAAAAACAGCACAUGCAGAACUCAGCUGAGCUGUCUGGUCACUACAUCCUUACACAAAGGUGAUUGGAGAGGUUUCCUGAUGGAUGACAUCAUUCACAAGAGCUCUGUCUGUAGCUGUCAGCACAGAAAGAGGUCCUUAAAAUUCCAGGAGCUGAAGCCUUGCAAUCCAUCAGGGAAAGGAACACAGACAUCCACCCUCCCCCUUGGCCAGCACAGGAGCCCAAAUGAAAGGCUCCACUCUCUACGUUCAGCAAUAACUCCUGAAGUCUGACAUAUUCCUAUGAAAACAGAUGGUCUUCCCUGGUUUACAGACUCCCCCAAAUACGCUGUAUAUCUGCCCCAACAACGAGUACAGAACUUCAGUUACCCGAAGAACAAGUCAGAAAACCAGAUGAAAGCAAAGAGGUUUGGAUUUCCUGAAGAAACAAUCCUGCGGUAUUUUCUUGUUUUGAUCAAAACCAAAGUGUUUUGAUGAACAGUAUUUUAAAUAACACGGGGGGGGGGGGGAAAUCUGUUACUAAGUAAAAUCUCCAACGUGCGAAACUUUUUUUCUCCCCCGAAGAGUUGCAUUUCUUUUGGCAUUGGCUUACUUUCCCAAAGAGCCAGAAGUGAUACCAAACAGUGUGAGAGCGUGUUGAACACAUUUUUCCAGGUGCCUACAGACACAGCAUCAUCCUGCAGAGCGUUUUGCUGGGGAGGUUUCAACACUGCAUGUUUCUGCAACAUUUUCAAUGACAGCAUCUGGAUACAGACCAUAUGGCCAGCUUCCUCACCCUCCUGAGAAAGGCUGAGUGACAUUCCUGGUUAGAACUUCUAUUGGUGAAAACUGCAGAGCCGUGUUCCCAAAACUGCUCACAGAUGACUCUCACUUUUGCCAGAUUUUUCACCCAAAUUCAAAAGAAACCAUUCCAGGGUCAGAGAGUUUUAGUUGUAGAGGCUUUAAAAAGCUCAAAAUCAAAGUGAAAACUUUCUUGUUGAGAGAAAUAUUUUGUCCAGUGUGAAACAUACUAAGUAUUAACUUUGCGGUUCUUUGAUUUUUAAUCUUUUUUUUUAUGUGAAUGAGCCAGCAACUCCAGAAUCAACCUCCUUAAGGUGAAACUUGCCUUUUCCAAGACAACUUCAGAGGCAGAGACGAUGCAAAGCAAGUGUUCUCAGAUUGCUGAGGUGACCUAAAAGCAGUAUUAUUUUUCUUUACCUCAGGCAAAAAUACACACCAAAACACCUACAUAUAUGCCUUUGCACACCAUGCAAAUGCUUUGGGGUCAGGUGAGGGCUCUGGAGAAGCACAAAAGCAUAAUUUCUCUAACCCUUCUCUCUUUGACACAGCCAGGCUUCCUGCCUCACCUGUACCUCUCUGCUCCCUUCAGUGUAAAUGACUGGGAGAGUUGUUUUUGCUGAACCUGGAGUCCUCUUGGGCAACCAAUGUUCUGAUUAAAUUUAUGAGAUAUGUUGCCAUACCCCUCGAAUGUUCAACUAUAAAGGGGAAAAAACAGUUUCUUAUUAGAGAGAUUUUUAUAUAAUACAAGACUGUCCGGCCUUAGUCACUCCUUGUUCAUUAGUGUGACAGUUCACCAUGGGAAUGGGAAGUGCUCAGUCCAUGUGGCAUCCAUUCCUACUUCCCAAGGUUAAGCUGCCCACAGGUGGAGUCCCUGCUCAUCACACAGUGCCAGCAGUAGCACAGGUAAAGGCAGAGCCAGGAAUAGCACUGGCAGAGAGCCAUCAUUAAAGGAGAGAAAAGAAGCCAUGCUGACCCAAGUCAUCAGGUGACUAGGCCACUAAGAUAAAUGGAAAUAAGUGUAUUUCUUACACAAAUUGCUUCACCGUCUACUCACCAAGGUUCAGCACUGGCUUCCCACAUUGUGACAAAAUUGGAAGUGGCAGAGCUCAAAGGAGCAUCUCCCAAACCGUGGUAAAGGAAAAAGACAUCCUUCUCUUUGCUGCAGCAUAUUUACCUCCCUCCAUCUCCUUUUUUUCUAUUCAACUUCUGUAUUUAUUUCCUCACAAAUGUUGUGGAAGCAAGGCUGUGCAUGAAACAAAUUCACUUCUCUUUGGAUAUUGUGUACACAGACUUCCACUUCUUCAGAUAUCAUAUCAGAGUAGUCCCAUUAUUUUCAGAUUUGUAUCCCUUAUCUAUCACCAUGAUAUCUGAUGAGAUAAUCCAGUGGGCAAACCUGAUCAAAGCCCAGGCUUUUCCCUUCCCCCAGCACAGGGGCACAAGCACAUAUAUCUGCGUUCCAGCUCAUUUAACAACAUAAAAGCCAAGCAUUUUACAUGUAGGAUCCGGAACCAUCAUUUUCUAAUGUCAAAGGUCACAUGAAAUACCUCUUAUGUUGUCUCAGCCUAUUUCCUGGCAUAGAGUUGUAAUCUCCGAGAACACAUAAAUGUUUCAGUAUUAGUACUAAGAAGCCACAUGAGGGAGCAUUUGGAGAAUUGAAAUGCUUUCCUUGUAUCAUUGUAAAUAAGGGAGGGAAUCAAACUUGAUACCUCUGGGAUAUAUGGAAUUCAGACAAAUCUAGAUGUUAUUAUUCAUUUCUCCUCUCAUACAGGGAUGCGGAAAUUGUGAUUCCCACUGAAAACAGAGCGUUUUUUUCUUAAAAAAAAAAAGGCCAUUAGUGGUCUGAAACAGACAAUUUCUUACUCUUGCCAAGGUAUGCUAUGACUGGUACACCUGAAAGGGAGCACAGACAAAUGGGUUUACAUUUCAGCUAAAUGAAAUUAUAAGACACUCUGUGCAGGUUAUUCCAGGCUGAGCGUGACAGCGGUGCCAGCUUUCCCAGAUUAUCAGCAGCCUCAGAUGACAGUGGCAGGGAGUGGUAAGGUCCCAGUUCCUGCAAUCUUCUGACUAGCAAAAAGCUCAACCUGCAUGCUUCUAAAUAAUUUUUCUGCCUUAUUCUUUCAUAUCUUAGGGUUUGCUAAAGAAAAUAAAAUCCACAGGUAUAUAAAGUUAAA